rnacentral:tRNA from 1 species
ACUUGGCUGGCUUAGUCAGUGGAGUGUGACUCUUGAUCUCAGGGUUAUGGGUUCAAGUCCCAUGUUGGGUG